AUCGCCUCUCAGCCUUUUGGCUAAGAUCAAGUGUAGUAUCUCUUCUUAUCAGUUUAAAAAUAGGUAGGUUACUGUGGACAUUGCUGCUAUAAACAUUGGGGUGCAUGUACCCCUUCGGAUCCCUACAUUUGUAUUUUUGUGGUAAAUACCCAGUAGUGCAAUUGCUGGAUCAUAU
rnacentral:snRNA from 1 species